UACGUAGGGUGCGAGCGUUGUCCGGAAUUAUUGGGCGUAAAGAGCUUGUAGGCGGUUUGUCGCGUCUGCUGUGAAAAUCCGGGGCUCAACCCCGGACUUGCAGUGGGUACGGGCAGACUAGAGUGUGGUAGGGGAGACUGGAAUUCCUGGUGUAGCGGUGAAAUGCGCAGAUAUCAGGAGGAACACCGAUGGCGAAGGCAGGUCUCUGGGCCAUAACUGACGCUGAGAAGCGAAAGCAUGGGGAGCAAACAGG
rnacentral:rRNA from 1 species